CUAUAUACGCAUAGUCGCAGGUAUGCAAUACGGUGUGUGCUAUAUGAACGACUCGGGUGAACUUAUGAGAUAGCAAGAUUCAUAUUUUCAUAGCGUUGUCGGAUUGUUUGGAGUUUAAAAAUUAAAAUAAAGGAUAUACCAUGAACGCCUCUAACACUAACAUAACGACUGCAUCCAUCAUGAGUACGGACGGGCCUGUGUCAUUCAAUCAGUUUGAGAUCCGGUCUCCAUUCGAGAUUCUGCUCGAGACCGCCCCACAUGUGAUAACCAUUGACAGAGUGGUGACCCCUAUUUGGAACAUCAUUGGCUUCAUCGGAAACACCAUCUCGGCAAAAAUUUGGCUAUCCAGGAAAGUGUGUAAGUCCAACUCCUCCGCAGUUUACUUUGGCUCCCUUGCGAUUGUUGAAACGUUGUACCUUAUAUUGCACGUGAUUUAUGAACUUCACGUGGCCUGGGGCUACAACACGUACCACCGACAAGUUUCGUGCGAGAUAUUCAACUUCCUCUUGUUGACACCUCAGUAC